UACGGGGGGGGCAAGCGUUGUUCGGAAUUACUGGGCGUAAAGGGCUCGUAGGCGGCCAACUAAGUCGGACGUGAAAUCCCCAGGCUCAACCUGGGAACUGCGUCUGAUACUGGAUGGCUUGAAUCCGGGAGAGGGAUGCAGAAUUCCAGGUGUAGCGGUGAAAUGCGUAGAUAUCUGGAGGAAUACCGGUGGCGAAGGCGGCAUCCUGGGCCGGCAUUGACGCUGAGGAGCGAAAGCCAGGGGAGCAAACGGG
rnacentral:rRNA from 1 species